ACACCACUCAAGCCUCGUCUUGGUAUUGGGCGUCUCGCGGGGUCACACCCGCGCGCCUCGAAGUCUCCGGCCGAGCCGUCCGUCUCUAAGCGUUGUGGAAACAGUUUCGCUUGCGAGUGCGGGUUGGUUCGUCAGCCGAUUGAAGCCUUUCUUUCUAA
rnacentral:misc_RNA from 1 species